rfam:Planktothrix tepida PCC 9214 isolate BBR_PRJEB10993 genome assembly, scaffold: BBR_B_PL9214_scaffold46
GUCAAUAACCCACCGCUAAUCGGAGUACCAAUAUAGCGGGGGCUUGUAAAAGCCCUAGUUGACCAGGCUCAGGUAGAAAUACCUCCGUUGUAGGGAAGCGUUAAAGUUCACACCUUAGAAUGCGUAGCUAGUUCUAAGCUCUGUAAUCUCAAUAUUAAUUAGCCAUUUGGGAGGCAGGUGUAUUGAGAAAGUACCAACCUACAACAUUGCCGAAGCUAACAUUAC